UUGGGCGUAAAGCGAGCGCAGGCGGUUAGAUAAGUCUGAAGUUAAAGGCAGUGGCUCAACCAUUGUAGGCUUUGGAAACUGUUUAACUUGAGUGCAGAAGGGGAGAGUGGAAUUCCAUGUGUAGCGGUGAAAUGCGUAGAUAUAUGGAGGAACACCGGUGGCGAAAGCGGCUCUCUGGCUUGUAACUGACGCUGAGGCUCGAAAGCGUGGGGAGCAAACAGGAUUAGAUACCCUGGUAGUCCACGCCGUAAACGAUGAGUGCUAGGUGUUAGACCCUUUCCGGGGUUUAGUGCCGCAGCUAACGCAUUAAGCACUCCGCCUGGGGAGUACGACCGCAAGGUUGAAACUCAAAGGAAUUGACGGGGGCCCGCACAAGCGGUGGGGCAUGUGGUUUAAUUCGAAGCAACGCGAAGAACCUUACCAGGUCUUGACAUCCCUCUGACCGCUCUAGAGAUAGAGUUUUCCUUCGGGACAGAGGUGACAGGUGGUGCAUGGUUGUCGUCAGCUCGUGUCGUGAG
rnacentral:rRNA from 1 species